GACGAACGCUGGCGGCGUGCCUAAUACAUGCAAGUAGAACGCUUAAGAGAGGAGCUUGCUCUUCUUGGAUGAGUUGCGAACGGGUGAGUAACGCGUAGGUAACCUGCCUUGUAGCGGGGGAUAACUAUUGGAAACGAUAGCUAAUACCGCAUAACAAUAGGUGACACAUGUCAUUUAUUUGAAAGGGGCAAUUGCUCCACUACAAGAUGGACCUGCGUUGUAUUAGCUAGUAGGUGAGGUAACGGCUCACCUAGGCGACGAUACAUAGCCGACCUGAGAGGGUUGUCGGCCACACUGGGACUGGGACACGGCCCAGACUUCUACGGGAGGCAGCAGUAGGGAAUCUUCGGCAAUGGGGGCAACCCUGACCGAGCAACGCCGCGUGAGUGAAGAAGGUUUUCGGAUCGUAAAGCUCUGUUGUAAGUCAAGAACGAGUGUGAGAGUGGAAAGUUCACACUGUGACGGUAGCUUACCAGAAAGGGACGGCUAACUACGUG
rnacentral:rRNA from 1 species